GAUGAGCGCUGGCGGCGUGCCUAAUACAUGCAAGUCGAGCGAACAGACGAGGAGCUUGCUCCUCUGACGUUAGCGGCGGACGGGUGAGUAACACGUGGAUAACCUACCUAUAAGACUGGGAUAACUUCGGGAAACCGGAGCUAAUACCGGAUAAUAUAUUGAACCGCAUGGUUCAAUAGUGAAAGGCGGUUUUGCUGUCACUUAUAGAUGGAUCCGCGCCGCAUUAGCUAGUUGGUAAGGUAACGGCUUACCAAGGCAACGAUGCGUAGCCGACCUGAGAGGGUGAUCGGCCACACUGGAACUGAGACACGGUCCAGACUCCUACGGGAGGCGGCAGUAGGGAAUCUUCCGCAAUGGGCGAAAGCCUGACGGAGCAACGCCGCGUGAGUGAUGAAGGUCUUCGGAUCGUAAAACUCUGUUAUUAGGGAAGAACAAAUGUGUAAGUAACUAUGCACGUCUUGACGGUACCUAAUCAGAAAGCCACGGCUAACUACGUG
rnacentral:rRNA from 1 species